CUCACGAAACAAAUAUGGUGGAUGGGUCACUAGAACCUGAUCUAGAUCUCGACGAUAUCGUGACCUAAAUUAUAAGCCACGUCAACGAUUAAGGCAACAAGUUGGGUAAGUGUAAUGUGUUUUCUAUUGUUGUCACUAAUCAAUUCCCUUGUGAUGAAAGCCAAGAUUUGAUGAUGAAUAUUUUCAAAGAAAGGGAAGAUGAUGUGAUCUUAGAUGGCCCAAAGUUAGGUCCAAGGAUGCCAUCCCCCAGGACCCGGGCCAAACAUAUAAGUAGUUAUCAAAUAUUUAUGUUUCCUAAAUAGGAUUG
rnacentral:lncRNA from 1 species